rnacentral:rRNA from 1 species
AGUGAAAAGGGAAGAGCCCAAGAUUGAAAGCUGGCGCCUUCGGCGUCCGCGUUGUAAUCUCAAGAAGCAUUUUCCGCUUCGGACCAAGCCUAAGUCCCCUGGAAAGGGGCAUCGUAGAGGGUGAGAAUCCCGUACAUGGCUUGGAGCGCCCGAGGCUUUGUGAUAUGUUUUCUAAGAGUCGAGUUGUUUGGGAAUGCAGCUCAAAAUGGGUGGUAAAUGCCAUCUAAGGCUAAAUAUUGGGGAGAGACCGAUAGCGAACAAGUACCGUGAGGGAAAGAUGAAAAGAACUUUGAAAAGAGAGUUAAACAGUACGUGAAAUUGCCAAAAGGGAAGGGUAGGAGGUCAGAGAUGCGGCUUGGGAUUCAGCCUUGCUUUUGCUUGGUGUUUUUCCCAUUUUGCAGGCCCACGUCGGUUUUGGGCACUGGAGAAUGGUGGGAGGRACGUGGCACCCUUCGGGGUGUGUUAUAGCCUCCUACUGGAUACAGCGACCGAGACCGAGGAACGCAGCGUACUCGUAAGAGCGGACCUUCGGG